UACGGAGGGGGCGAGCGUUAUCCGGAAUUACUGGGUGUAGAGGGAGCGUAGACGGCGAGGUAAGCCUGAAGUGGAAGCCCGCGGCCCAACCGCGGAACUGCUUUGGGAACUGUUUUGCUGGAGUAUGGGAGGGGUAAGCGGAAUUCCUGGUGUAGCGGUGAAAUGCGUAGAUAUCAGGAGGAACACCGGUGGCGAAGGCGGCUUACUGGACCAUAACUGACGUUGAGGCUCGAAAGCGUGGGGAGCGAACAGG
rnacentral:rRNA from 1 species